GAAAUGCAAUAAUUAAUGUGAAUUGCAGAAUUCAGUGAAUCAUCGAGUCUUUGAACGCACAUUGCGCCCCCUGGUAUUCCGGGGGGCAUGCCUGUCCGAGCGUCAUUGCUGCCCUCAAGCACGGCUUGUGUGUUGGGCUUCCGUCCCUGGCAACGGGGACGGGCCCAAAAGGCAGUGGCGGCACCAUGUCUGGUCCUCGAGCGUAUGGGGCUUUGUCACCCGCUCCCGUAGGUCCAGCUGGCAGCUAGCCUCGCAACCAAUCUUUUUAACCAGGUUGACCUCGGAUCAGGUAGUGAUACCCGCUGAACUUAAGC
rnacentral:misc_RNA from 1 species